AGUGUCAAGGGAUGGGAAUCGAACCCACGACCUUCCGCUUACCGGGCAGAUGGCAUGACCACUAGGCCACAUGACC
rnacentral:tRNA from 1 species